GCUGCUUCUUCUAUAGCAAGUGCCGAUCAGGAAUCACUGCUUAUUCGACCGUUAAUGCCGUAUGCCUAAAACCGAACCACGCUAAUUCAAUCUAAUGGGCCCCCCUCCGCUCUGGCUAACAAUUUGAAUCGCCUUCUCCUGCCCUAGGACUCGUAGUGCACUCACUCCCUUUAGAGUUAGCUUGAGCCUACCUUUGCACACCUCCGUUACUCUUUAGUGGGUUUUUAUUCUUUUAUCUUAUUUUCCUCUUCCUCGUUUGCUUAGUCCUUAUUAGCGAGAGUUGAGUUUUGACUGAGAGUAGUAUCUCCA
rnacentral:misc_RNA from 1 species